UACGUAGGGGGCAAGCGUUGUCCGGAAUCAUUGGGCGUAAAGCGCGUGUAGGCGGUUCGAUAAGUCUGCUGUGAAAGUCCAGGGCUCAACCCUGGGAUGCCGGUGGAUACUGUCAAGCUAGAGUACGGAAGAGGCGAGUGGAAUUCCCGGUGUAGCGGUGAAAUGCGCAGAUAUCGGGAGGAACACCAAUUGCGAAGGCAGCUCGCUGGGACGUCACUGACGCUGAGACGCGAAAGCGUGGGGAGCGAACAGG
rnacentral:rRNA from 1 species